rnacentral:rRNA from 1 species
AUGAGUACUUUCUGUUGGAACUGCCGCGGUGCGGGCAACGCCGCGACAGUCCAAGAACUUCGCGAUUUCGCGAGGAAGCUUGCCCCUACCCUUUUAUGUAUUGUUGAAACUCAGAUAGAAGGAUCUAGGGUAGAGAAUUUCGCUGGCACAUUGGGAUAUGAUAAUGCGUAUGCAGUUGAUAGUGAAGGUAGAAGUGGUGGAAUUGGAAUCUUUUGGAACAAUGAAAUAAAGAUUGAAAUUUUAGGUUACUCUCGUUAUCAUCUGGACGUGUCUGUAGAGGAAGAAGGUCAUGAUGCUUGGAGAUUGACGUGUGUAUAUGGCGAGGCUCAAACACACCUGAGAUACCGUAUCAGCACAUCUAGCUCUCUUCCAUGGAUGUGCAUAGGGGAUUUCAAUGAGGUUUUAUGCUCAAGCGAACAUGUUGGGAUUGGGAUGAGGAGCAAUGCCCAAAUACAAGCUUUUAGAGAUACGGUGGAUAUUUGCAUGUUACUUGACAUCGGAUACCAAGGCAGGCCGUGCACGUUUGAAAAGAGAGUGGUUGGAGGGACAUAUACCAGAUGCAGACUAGAUCGUGCGCUGGAAAAUGUACCAUGGAUGGCUCGUUUUGCUUCUGCUAGUCUCGAGCACCUAACGGCGGCGACAUCAAAUCACUGCCCACUUCUUCUGGACUUUGGGCGAGGGCAGAGAAAUCUACAUGAACGCACAUUCCGUUACGAAGCAAUGUGGGAAAAACAUGAGGAGCUGAAGGGUUUUGUUUAG